UAGGGAAUAUUGGACAAUGGGCGAAAGCCUGAUCCAGCAACUCCGCGUGAAUGAUGAAGGCCUUAGGGUUGUAAAGUUCUUUUAGUAGGGAAGAUAAUGACGGUACCUACAGAAAAAGCACCGGCUAACUUCGUGCCAGCAGCCGCGGUAAUACGAAGGGUGCUAGCGUUACUCGGAAUCACUGGGCGUAAAGAGUGCGUAGGCGGCUGAGAAAGUUGAAGGUGAAAUCCUUGGGCUCAACCCAAGAACUGCUUUCAAUACUACUCAGCUAGAGGACUAGGAGAGAUAGUGGAAUUGUUGGUGUAGAGGUGAAAUUCGUAGAUAUCAGCAGGAACAUCGGUGGCGAAAGUGGCUAUCUGCCUAGAUUCUGACGCUGUUGCACGAA
rnacentral:rRNA from 1 species